ACACGACUACAUUAGAUACCCGGGUAGUCCUAGCCGUAAACGAUACUCGCUAGGUGUCGGCCACGGUGCGACCGUUGUCGGUGCCGUAGGGAAGUCGUGAAGCGAGCCACCUGGGAAGUACGGCCGCAAGGCUGAAACUUAAAGGAAUUGGCGGGGAGCACCACAACGGGUGGAGCCUGCGGUUUAAUUUGGACUCAACGCCGGGAAGCUCACCGGAUAAGACAGCGGAAUGAUUGCCGGGCUGAAGACCCUGCAUGACCAGCUG
rnacentral:rRNA from 1 species